GACAGAGGGUGCAAACGUUGUUCGGAAUUACUGGGCGUAAAGCGCGUGUAGGCUGUCACGCAAGUCGGGUGUGAAAGCCCGGGGCUCAACCCCGGAAGUGCACUCGAAACUGCGCGACUAGAAUCUCGGAGAGGAUGGCGGAAUUCUGGGUGUAGAGGUGAAAUUCGUAGAUAUCCAGAGGAACACCGGUGGCGAAGGCGGCCAUCUGGACGAGUAUUGACGCUGAGACGCGAAAGCGUGGGGAGCAAACAGG
rnacentral:misc_RNA from 1 species